AGCGAACGCUGGCGGCAGGCUUAACACAUGCAAGUCGAACGCCUGUAGCAAUACAGGAGUGGCAGACGGGAGAGUAACACGUGGGAACGUGCCUUUUGGUCGGAACAACCCAGGGAAACUUGGGCUAAAACCGGAUAAGCCCUUACGGGGAAAGAUUUAUCGCCAAAAGAUCGGCCCGCGUCUGAUUAGCUAGUUGGUGAGGUAACGGCCCACAAGGCGACGAUCAGUAGCUGGUCUGAGAGGAUGAUCAGCCUCAUUGGGACUGAGACACGGCCCAAACUCCUACGGGAGGCAGCAGUGGGGAAUCUUGGACAAUGGGCGCAAGCCUGAUCCAGCCAUGCCGCGUGGGUGAUGAAGGCCCUAGGGUUGUAAAGCCCUUUCGGCGGGAAGAUAAUGACGGUACCCGCAGAAGAAGCCCCGGCUAAC
rnacentral:rRNA from 1 species